UACGUAGGGUGCAAGCGUUGUCCGGAAUCAUUGGGCGUAAAGAGCUCGUAGGCGGUCUGUCGCGUCUGCUGUGAAAACCUGGGGGCUUAACCCUGGGCUUGCAGUGGGGUACGGGGCAGACUAGAGUGCGGUAGGGGGAGACUGGAAUUCCUGGUGUAGCGGUGAAAUGCGCAGAUAUCAGGAGGAACACCGGUGGCGAAGGCGGG
rnacentral:rRNA from 1 species